rnacentral:rRNA from 1 species
ACUCCUACGGGAGGCAGCAGUGAGGAAUAUUGGUCAAUGGAGGGAACUCUGAACCAGCCAUCCCGCGUGUAGGAAGACGGCCUUAUGGGUUGUAAACUACUUUUAUACAGGAAGAAACGUACCCUCGUGAGGGUGCCUGACGGUACUGUAGGAAUAAGCACCGGCUAACUCCGUGCCAGCAGCCGCGGUAAUACGGAGGGUGCGAGCGUUAAUCGGAAUUACUGGGCGUAAAGCGUACGCAGGCGGUUUGUUAAGCGAGAUGUGAAAGCCCCGGGCUGCAACCAUGGGAAGCUGCAUUUCGAACUUGGCAAACUAGAGUGAUGAUAG